rnacentral:rRNA from 1 species
AUUGAACGCUGGCGGCAGGCUUAACACAUGCAAGUCGAACGAUGACUCUCUAGCUUGCUAGAGAAGAUUAGUGGCGGACGGGUGAGUAACAUUUAGGAAUCUGCCUAGUAGUGGGGGAUAGCUCGGGGAAACUCGAAUUAAUACCGCAUACGACCUACGGGUGAAAGGGGGCGCAAGCUCUUGCUAUUAGAUGAGCCUAAAUCAGAUUAGCUAGUUGGUGGGGUAAAGGCCCACCAAGGCGACGAUCUGUAACUGGUCUGAGAGGAUGAUCAGUCACACCGGAACUGAGACACGGUCCGGACUCCUACGGGAGGCAGCAGUGGGGAAUAUUGGACAAUGGGGGCAACCCUGAUCCAGCCAUGCCGCGUGUGUGAAGAAGGCCUUUUGGUUGUAAAGCACUUUAAGCAGGGAGGAGAGGCUAAUGGUUAAUACCCAUUAGAUUAGACGUUACCUGCAGAAUAAGCACCGGCUAACUCUGUGCCAGCCGCCGCAGUAA